GGUGGGAUAGCUGGGUCAAAUGGUGAUUCCAUUCCAAGUUUUUUGAGGAAUCUCCAUACUGCUUUCCAUAGCAAUUGCACCAAUUUGCAUUCCUACCAGCAAU
rnacentral:pre_miRNA from 1 species